AAAGAAUUGAAGAUAAUGAUGAAGAAGACGAUGAUGGUGUUGAAUUAUGUAUACGUCUUUAUUGUGUCAAAUGUGGAAGUUUCUUGGGACAUAAAAGACAUCCAUAUGGUCUUAGAACAUUUCCACCUAUUCCUUGCAUUUUCCCCCGAAAGGUGUUGAUUGCAGUUUGAUUUGAGAAUGAAUGAUGGAUACUUACAAAUACAAGGUUGGUGAAAACACAAUGUCAGGUUCAGAUAUGCUGCUACUCUUUCAUAUAUAUUCCAAUUAAGAAUUGAAGCAGUAUCUAUGCCAGAUUUUGUUGGGGUUUGUUUUUGUAAUUGUCUUUGUUUAUAGU